rnacentral:rRNA from 1 species
GAUGAACGCUGGCGGCGUGCCUAAUACAUGCAAGUCGAGCGAACGGACGAGAAGCUUGCUUCUCUGAUGUUAGCGGCGGACGGGUGAGUAACACGUGGAUAACCUACCUAUAAGACUGGGAUAACUUCGGGAAACCGGAGCUAAUACCGGAUAAUAUUUUGAACCGCAUGGUUCAAAAGUGAAAGACGGUCUUGCUGUCACUUAUAGAUGGAUCCGCGCUGCAUUAGCUAGUUGGUAAGGUAACGGCUUACCAAGGCAACGAUGCAUAGCCGACCUGAGAGGGUGAUCGGCCACACUGGAACUGAGACACGGUCCAGACUCCUACGGGAGGCAGCAGUAGGGAAUCUUCCGCAAUGGGCGAAAGCCUGACGGAGCAACGCCGCGUGAGUGAUGAAGGUCUUCGGAUCGUAAAACUCUGUUAUUAGGGAAGAACAUAUGUGUAAGUAACUGUGCACAUCUUGACGGUACCUAAUCAGAAAGCCACGGCUAACUACGUGCCAGCAGCCGCGGUAAUACGUAGGUGGCAAGCGUUAUCCGGAAUUAUUGGGCGUAAAGCGCGCGUAGGCGGUUUUUUAAGUCUGAUGUGAAAGCCCACGGCUCAACCGUGGAGGGUCAUUGGAAACUGGAAAACUUGAGUGCAGAAGAGGAAAGUGGAAUUCCAUGUGUAGCGGUGAAAUGCGCAGAGAUAUGGAGGAACACCAGUGGCGAAGGCGACUUUCUGGUCUGUAACUGACGCUGAUGUGCGAAAGCGUGGGGAUCAAACAGGAUUAGAUACCCUGGUAGUCCACGCCGUAAACGAUGAGUGCUAAGUGUUAGGGGGUUUCCGCCCCUUAGUGCUGCAGCUAACGCAUUAAGCACUCCGCCUGGGGAGUACGACCGCAAGGUUGAAACUCAAAGGAAUUGACGGGGACCCGCACAAGCGGUGGAGCAUGUGGUUUAAUUCGAAGCAACACGAAGAACCUUACCAAAUCUUGACAUCCUUUGACAACUCUAGAGAUAGAGCCUUCCCCUUCGGGGGACAAAGUGACAGGUGGUGCAUGGUUGUCGUCAGCUCGUGUCGUGAGAUGUUGGGUUAAGUCCCGCAACGAGCGCAACCCUUAAGCUUAGUUGCCAUCAUUAAGUUGGGCACUCUAAGUUGACUGCCGGUGACAAACCGGAGGAAGGUGGGGAUGACGUCAAAUCAUCAUGCCCCUUAUGAUUUGGGCUACACACGUGCUACAAUGGACAAUACAAAGGGCAGCGAAACCGCGAGGUCAAGCAAAUCCCAUAAAGUUGUUCUCAGUUCGGAUUGUAGUCUGCAACUCGACUACAUGAAGCUGGAAUCGCUAGUAAUCGUAGAUCAGCAUGCUACGGUGAAUACGUUCCCGGGUCU